rnacentral:rRNA from 1 species
CCUACGGGAGGCAGCAGUGAGGAAUAUUGGUCAAUGGACGGAAGCCUGAACCAGCCACGCCGCGUGCAGGAAGACGGCUCUAUGAGUUUUAAACUGCUUUUGUACAAGGGUAAACCUGAAUACGUGUAUUCAGCUGAACGUACUGUACGAAUAAGGAUCGGCUAACUCCGUGCCAGCAGCCGCGGUAAUACGGAGGAUCCAAGCGUUAUCCGGAUUUAUUGGGUUUAAAGGGUGCGUAGGCGGGUUGAUAAGUUAGAGGUGAAAUGUCCGGGCUUAACUCGGGAACUGCCUCUAAUACUGUUGAUCUAGAGAGUAGAUGCGGUAGGCGGAAUGUAUGGUGUAGCGGUGAAAUGCUUAGAGAUCAGACAGAACACCGGUUGCGAAGGCAGCUUACCAAUCUAUAUCUGACGUUGAGGCACGAAAGCGUGGGGAGCAAACAGGAUUAGAUACCCUUGUAGUC